rnacentral:rRNA from 1 species
AUUGAACGCUGGCGGCAGGCCUAACACAUGCAAGUCGAGCGGAGCGGCGGACGGGUGAGUAAUGCCUAGGAAUCUGCCUGGUAGUGGGGGAUAACGUCCGGAAACGGGCGCUAAUACCGCAUACUAUCAGAUGAGCCUAGGUCGGAUUAGCUAGUUGGUGGGGUAAAGGCUCACCAAGGCAACGAUCCGUAGCUGGUUUGAGAGGACGACCAGCCACACUGGGACUGAGACACGGCCCAGACUCCUACGGGAGGCAGCAGUGGUGAAUUUUGGACAAUGGGGGAAACCCUGAUCCAGCCAUGCCGCGUGUGUGAAGAAGGUCUUCGGAUUGUAAAGCACUUUAAGUUGGGAGGCGUUACCAACAGAAUAAGCACCGACUAACUACGUGCCAGCAGCCGCGGUAAUUC